UACGUAGGGUGCGAGCGUUACUCGGAAUUACUGGGCGUAAAGCGUGCGCAGGCGGUUUUGUAAGCCAGGUGUGAAAUCCCCGGGCUUAACCUGGGAAUGGCAUUUGGGACUGCAAGGCUUGAGUGCGGCAGAGGAGACUGGAAUUCCUGGUGUAGCAGUGAAAUGCGUAGAUAUCAGGAGGAACACCGAUGGCGAAGGCAGGUCUCUGGGCUGACACUGACGCUCAUGCACGAAAGCGUGGGGAGCAAACAGG
rnacentral:rRNA from 1 species